AGCAAAUCAGAAUAUGUAAUCUACAAGCUGAAAGAGAUGGGAAAGAUUGGGGAGAAAGAUAUAUUGCAGAUAUGCAAUCAAUUCAGCAAACUAGACCCCAACAACUUGGGAAAGAUAACCCUAACUGAUCUGUUGGGGAAUCGUUCAUGACAAUUAAACAGAUUAAUUUAAUCUGUAUUUUUUAACAGAAGCAUUUGGAGUUAUCUCCUCAUCCUGGAGUAGGACAAAUGGAAAUAGGAGCUUGAGAAUCUUCAUACAAAAAAAUUUGCCGGUUUGCAUGCAUAAGUGUUGUUCUAUCUAGCAAAAGAGGUUUGCAGAUUAGCCACUGCGCCGUUGCACAAAGAACUGCACAGUCAUAGAGGGUUACUUUCGGUGCUAAAACAAUGAUCACAGGAGAAAACAAGGAUUGAAAAUGCAAGGGCAAUGCGUGGUUGCCUUUCUUUACCAAACCCCCACCCCCAGCCCCAGCUCCCCAAAUCUAUAUCCUAUUUCUUUGGGCCUUGAAUUGUAUAUGACAAAUUGACAAUGUAAUUACGCAUUUAUAUUGAAACCAUUCCGAAGGGUAAAAGGCAAUGAGAAAA
rnacentral:misc_RNA from 1 species